GCAACCAGCAAAGCAAUUCCCAAUUUCAUAUUGCCUUUGUUCCAAAUCAAUGGCCUCCAUGCAAUGCCAUAAAGACACCAACCAUGUCCAAUCUUCAACCCAUAAGACCAACACCGAACACUCUUUCACCAAUAAAGUGAAGGAGAUGGCCGGGAAAAUGUUUCCUCGCGACCAAAAAAAUCGCUGCCAGAAACACGAGCAUGGGCAAGUGCAUAAACCGGAGCAUGGUAGGAAUGGGAAUGACUGCAUGCCUACGAUACGAGAACACGUGAAUAUGUAUAAGAAGAAGAAUAAGAAGAAGAAGAGAGAGGAAGGAAAACACACUGAUACUAGUGAUAGUAGCAGCAGUGACAAUGAUGAAUGAUUGCUCGUAAAAAGAAGGAUUAAAGAGAAGGACCAUUCUGAAAGAUCAUACCGUAUAAGGGAUUGAAAUAUAUAUAUCUAAGGAUACGUUCUUUAAGAUAAUAUAUAAAUAAGAGAGCAAUAAACGAGAAUGAACUUACUAUGUAUAAUGAAGAGUUCAUUGAUAAUAAUGAAAAUUUUUAUAUUAUACUACCAAUCUUCUUUA